rnacentral:rRNA from 1 species
GAUGAAUGCUAGCGGCGUGGAUAAGGCAUGCAAGUCGAGUGGGUUUAGACCCACGGCAAACGAGGUAGUAAUACGCAGGUACUCACCGAAAAGUCGAGCAUAUACCGUCGAAAGGCGGAGCAAUUCUCGAUAGUCCCUCCGGGGUAAAGGAGCAAUCCGCUUUUUGAGAGGCCUGUGGCGCAUCAGGUAGUUGGUAGGGUAAUGGCCUACCAAGCCUACGACGCGUAGGGGAGCUGAGAGGCUGACCCCCACCGAUGGAACUGAGACACGGUCCAUACACCUACGGGUGGCUGCAGUCGAGAAUAUUGGCAAUGGGCGCAAGCCUGACCAUGCGACGCCGCGUGGUUGAUGAAGUCC